rnacentral:rRNA from 2 species
ACUUAAAUUGAAGAGUUUGAUCAUGGCUCAGAUUGAACGCUGGCGGCAGGCCUAACACAUGCAAGUCGAACGGUAACAGGAAGCAGCUUGCUGCUUCGCUGACGAGUGGCGGACGGGUGAGUAAUGUCUGGGAAACUGCCUGAUGGAGGGGGAUAACUACUGGAAACGGUGGCUAAUACCGCAUAACGUCGCAAGACCAAAGAGGGGGACCUUCGGGCCUCUUGCCAUCAGAUGUGCCCAGAUGGGAUUAGCUAGUUGGUGAGGUAACGGCUCACCAAGGCGACGAUCCCUAGCUGGUCUGAGAGGAUGACCAGCCACACUGGAACUGAGACACGGUCCAGACUCCUACGGGAGGCAGCAGUGGGGAAUAUUGCACAAUGGGCGCAAGCCUGAUGCAGCCAUGCCGCGUGUAUGAAGAAGGCCUUCGGGUUGUAAAGUACUUUCAGCGGGGAGGAAGGUGUUGUGGUUAAUAACCGCAGCAAUUGACGUUACCCGCAGAAGAAGCACCGGCUAACUCCGUGCCAGCAGCCGCGGUAAUACGGAGGGUGCAAGCGUUAAUCGGAAUUACUGGGCGUAAAGCGCACGCAGGCGGUCUGUCAAGUCGGAUGUGAAAUCCCCGGGCUCAACCUGGGAACUGCAUUCGAAACUGGCAGGCUUGAGUCUUGUAGAGGGGGGUAGAAUUCCAGGUGUAGCGGUGAAAUGCGUAGAGAUCUGGAGGAAUACCGGUGGCGAAGGCGGCCCCCUGGACAAAGACUGACGCUCAGGUGCGAAAGCGUGGGGAGCAAACAGGAUUAGAUACCCUGGUAGUCCACGCCGUAAACGAUGUCUACUUGGAGGUUGUGCCCUUGAGGCGUGGCUUCCGGAGCUAACGCGUUAAGUAGACCGCCUGGGGAGUACGGCCGCAAGGUUAAAACUCAAAUGAAUUGACGGGGGCCCGCACAAGCGGUGGAGCAUGUGGUUUAAUUCGAUGCAACGCGAAGAACCUUACCUGGUCUUGACAUCCACAGAACUUUCCAGAGAUGGAUUGGUGCCUUCGGGAACUGUGAGACAGGUGCUGCAUGGCUGUCGUCAGCUCGUGUUGUGAAAUGUUGGGUUAAGUCCCGCAACGAGCGCAACCCUUAUCCUUUGUUGCCAGCGGUCCGGCCGGGAACUCAAAGGAGACUGCCAGUGAUAAACUGGAGGAAGGUGGGGAUGACGUCAAGUCAUCAUGGCCCUUACGACCAGGGCUACACACGUGCUACAAUGGCGCAUACAAAGAGAAGCGACCUCGCGAGAGCAAGCGGACCUCAUAAAGUGCGUCGUAGUCCGGAUUGGAGUCUGCAACUCGACUCCAUGAAGUCGGAAUCGCUAGUAAUCGUGGAUCAGAAUGCCACGGUGAAUACGUUCCCGGGCCUUGUACACACCGCCCGUCACACCAUGGGAGUGGGUUGCAAAAGAAGUAGGUAGCUUAACCUUCGGGAGGGCGCUUACCACUUUGUGAUUCAUGACUGGGGUGAAGUCGUAACAAGGUAACCGUAGGGGAACCUGCGGUUGGAUCACCUCCUUACCUUAAAGAAGC